CAUAUUCAUCAUAGUCACGUUUUAUUGGCAAAGAGUGGUGUGUUUGACGCUCUUUAAUGAUGCUAAUAACCAGUGUUUAUUAAAUUAACUACAUCUGAGUCGAAAACGUCGUGGCCUCGGAAUGGUUGCACGAAUAUUCAACAUAAAGAAGGCCUCAAUCACCUUAAAGCGUUUACCCAAUAUCAACGUAAAUGGCCUAGUUUCCAUUCCCAUCGGCAACCAAAUGUACAAGUUGCACUGGAAGCAUACUUGGGCUGGCCCAUUGAGCUCGCCAAUAGAUAACAUGACACCCGACGGGCGCGUGUGAGACCUGGCCACUCGCUACACUGGAGAUUAUGAAAAAGGAAAUAAUCCAAAAGGUUUCUGCGCGCAAGUAAGUCGUCUUUAGAUUGGCGGAGUUAAGUUUCUUUAAAAUCUCAUGCAGGUCAAUCGAGCGCCUUUAAGAAAUCAACAUUUUUAGUGCUGUGCCGAUUUUCAGGGCUUUGGCGAAUCUAAAAUGUACAUCCCUCCAAAAUCGGAUGUAAUUUUAGCGAUAUUUUAUUAUUUACCAGAAACUAAGUAAUGUUUCAUUUUGUCUCUCAGCCACAUCUACCAGGCUUAUGGACUGUAAUAUAUUCAAUAUCGUCGGUACCUGGAAAUCUAAAAAUGUAAAGUUCAGACAAAUCUGGAUCGAGUUUGUCUAUUUUAAAGGCUUUUAUGAAUCCUUAAAGCCUAAUGUGAGCACAAAAACUGAGGUAAAGUUCUGCGAUUUUGUUUAUACAAAUUUCUAAGAAGGCAAACCCACCCGACUCAGCAGUUUUUCAUAAAAACAUGUUCCUAUUGACUACUUGGGUUUAACUAACAAAGUCUUAAAUUGUGAGCGGACGAAAAAACCGGCGCACAGAAAUUGAGCAAGCGAUCAAAAAGUGAGUGAGUGAGCGAUGAGCCACACUGUUGGGCAUACACACCCGCACAAACACGUGUAUGUGCAGAGAUGAGCCAAGCCCAGAGAUAAGCAGCACCUGUUUGUGUGUGUGUGUUCGCUGCUCACGCUCACGCGCUCUCGAUUCAUUUUGGCGCUGAUCGCUGAUUGGUCCAAUCAAUAAUUGCUGGCAAUCGUGUUCUCGCCUGGUCGUUUGCGGGCAUCAUUACUCUGAGUUAAUUUGGCCCCAUGAGUCAAUCGGGCAUGUUGGUAAACUGUGAGUGAUAGUCUAUUGAGCUCUUUUUUUAACUCGAACUGACUAAAACAUAAUAUAAUAUUAAUUAGCAGCCUGCAGUAGCUGUCAUAUCAUGUGCUUUCGCAAUUGAUGUCUUAUUAUGAUUGUCUUAUGGUUAUUUAGUGCUCACUCUUCUUUUAAUUUGUUUGCAUGUAAAUCGUUAGUAGUUAUCCCGAGCUUAAAAAGUGUAAUAUUUCUAAUUUCUUAUUUAGCCGAGAUACUAACAAAAAAAACCGAAGGGAUUAUAUUGUUUUCUAACGUCAUAUUUCCGAACGGCACAUUAAAAUUCAAAAUAAAUUUUUCAGUUUCUAUUUUUCAGCCAAAUUAGCCAUGGACAGCAUAUGAUCGCUAUUUAUGUUACCUAGUUGACCUAUAUAAUGUUGGUUAUUCCAUAUCAUGGGUAUAGUCAUAGCGUACCCAAAGGACCGAGCGCUCGCAAAAUGCCCAAGAAGUGCGUUGAAAAAUAUGUAUGCUUUUAUUUUACAGCAGCCCGCCCCUGCAUGGUUUCUAGUUGACUAACAUAUCUUUGGUUAUACCAUGCCAUCGAUAUAUCCUUGGGAACCUAAAGGAUCAGAUCCCUGCAAAAUGUGCAUUGAACUGGUCCAAAAACAUGUAUGCUUUUUAUUACAGGAGCCCUUUUACAUUAGCUGCAGCUGUUGUUUAACAGCCGCUUUACAUCACUCGUUUUACAUAAACGCUACUUAACAGUACUCAUUUUAAUUGAGUUACAUUUUUGCCCCUUAUGGCUAUGCAAUAAAAAUUUUUAUUCGAAGAAAUCGUCGAC
rnacentral:sRNA from 1 species